ACUGGUUGAAAAUUUAGUAACCCUGCUCCUAAUCCCGUGCACUGCUAUAUCCUAGUGUGCGGCGGGACACUUGAGAGUUUUGAAAGAACCCUCAAACAAGUUCACGUUCCGUAAACUACUUUUCCCUCUGUUCCAGAGCCCCCAGGGCGCCCAGGCAAGGCCGCCACCUCUCCCACCUGGGAGGACGCCUCGAGCACCGACUCCACAGCCACGGCCACCGCUCCUCGGCUCCCGUGACACCGGCGCGCCUGCUGCUUCGAGCAGGGCUAGCUUUGCACUCCCAUCGCACUUUUCUCGUCCGAAGAUACGAAACUCCGUCCGGGCGUCGCAAAUAAUUCGAAUUCGGCUCUCUGACACCUACCUCGGCGGGCGCGCGCCGCUGGGAGGGCGGGGUGGGUGGCUGGAGGUGCUGGAGAAUCUGGUAAAAGCACCAUUGUGAAGCAGAUGAGGAUCCUGCAUGUUAAUGGGUUUAAUGGAGAGGGCGGCGAAGAGGACCCGCAGGCUGCAAGGAGCAACAGCGAUGGAAUAUAAUAUCCCUAGAUGAUGGCUACAGUUUCUCAUCUUCCCGGCUAUGUCCUAUCACAAUUUGCAUGCUGGAAUUGCUCGGUCUUAGGAACUUCUAAUAAGAAUACUAUUCUGUUAUCUGGGGGGGAGGGGGGAUGGGGCCCCUGCUACCUGACCUUAAACGAUGAUUGAAAAAACGAAAAAUGGACUGAAAUCCUUAAUUGGCAGAAAUGUAGUAUGACAACUAUCCAAAAAGGCAUCUCUAUAAGAAAUGACUAAUUGACAAUCUGCUGUACCAAAAGUUGGCAUUUGAGCAAGAUAUGACAAGUCCUUAGUGAGCAACCUACCGUGUACUAGAUGUCCUGCUAAACCCUUGAACCCUACUAAUACCUUGGCCUGCACGUCUCUCUGACUCUGUUCUGCAAGUCAAUAUAAGUAUUAACAUUCGUGAUAAAUAAAAAUUCUCUGCAUGUUUCAGCAA
rnacentral:sRNA from 1 species